rnacentral:rRNA from 1 species
AUUGAACGCUGGCGGCAGGCUUAACACAUGCAAGUCGAGCGGAGUGAUGGUGCUUGCACUAUCACUUAGCGGCGGACGGGUGAAUAAUGCUUAGGAAUCUGCCAUUUAGUGGGGGACAACAUUCCGAAAGGAAUGCUAAUACCGCAUACGUCCUACGGGAGAAAGCAGGGGAUCUUCGGACCUUGCGCUAAAUGAUGAGCCUAAGUCGGAUUAGCUAGUUGGUGGGGUAAAGGCCUACCAAGGCGACGAUCUGUAGCGGGUCUGAGAGGAUGAUCCGCCACACUGGGACUGAGACACGGCCCAGACUCCUACGGGAGGCAGCAGUGGGGAAUAUUGGACAAUGGGCGGAAGCCUGAUCCAGCCAUGCCGCGUGUGUGAAGAAGGCCUUUUGGUCGUAAAGCACUUUAAGCGAGGAGGAGGCUACUAGUACUAAUACUACUGGAUAGUGGACGUUACUCGCAGAAUAAGCACCGGCUAACUCUGUGCCAGCCGCCGCGGUAACAC